GUGAGUGUCUCUCCCCUUUUGGAGUGGCAAGCACCUGCUGUCUGCCAGUGCUGAGUGACGGCUGCUGGUGGAAUCUACGUGGGAAAGCCCUUCACCAUCAAAAGGCGCGUGGCUGGGGGAGGCCAUCACUGAGAGGAGCAUCUUUGCCUCUGCUCCGUGCGAACGUCGCUCACCCCCUACACCGAGCAGCUGGAGAGGGAGCUGAGAAUCUGAGCACAUGGGCUGAUUUUGCAGAGGCCUGAUGCUGAAGUGUCACAGAAAAGCCUUGUGAAAAUCUCAGCUGAGGAUAAAUGUGGUGGUU
rnacentral:lncRNA from 1 species